rnacentral:rRNA from 1 species
GGCCUUCGGGUUGUAAACCUCUUUCAGUACCGACGAAGCGCAAGUGACGGUAGGUACAGAAGAAGCACCGGCCAACUACGUGCCAGCAGCCGCGGUAAUACGUAGGGUGCGAGCGUUGUCCGGAAUUACUGGGCGUAAAGAGCUCGUAGGUGGUUUGUCGCGUUGUUCGUGAAAACUCACAGCUUAACUGUGGGCGUGCGGGCGAUACGGGCAGACUGGAGUACUGCAGGGGAGACUGGAAUUCCUGGUGUAGCGGUGGAAUGCGCAGAUAUCAGGAGGAACACCGGUGG